GAAGCCGGCUAGCAGCAGUCAAGGCGAAGCGGGCGAGGUGGUCCAGUCACAUUUCGCCGAGAUCCCCUCCCCAACCAACCGGCCGGCACAGCUGUUUCGCCGCUCCCGUGAGCCCUGCGGAAGCGUUACGGGACCGUGAGAUGGAGCCUUUUCCACAUAAAGGGGCCGUGUGGGUGGCCUUCAGGAACGGGCCGAGGGGUUGCCGCGCGCCCUGCGACGACGGUGUCCGGCUCCCGGCGUGGCCGAAGCGUGCGGCCUCAGGACGCGGCCGUUCACAGGAGACCCUGACCCAGAAGACAGCAGCCUGGCAGUGGCAGGAACUUCCCAGAUGGCGAGGCGCCCUUCCUUGGCGCUCCACGUGGAUCCUCCCCGCCGGGCAUCCGAGAGCUAAGUCGAAGGCUAUGAAUUGCAGAGGGGCUGAAAGUGGGGUGCCGGGUCGGGACUCUGGAUCUGGGAUUUUUAAGUCAGCUUUGG